GCGAGGUAGCUCAGUUGGUAGAGCAGCGGACUGAAAAUCCGCGUGUCGUGGGUCCGAUUCCCACCCUUGCC
rnacentral:tRNA from 1 species